GUGCAGCACAUUCCACACAGUGAGCCAAACUCUGUUCUCCGCUAUGCCCAUAGUGCCGUCAAAACGAAUGGAAAUAUUAGGAAGGCAGGUGGGUUUGGUGUCGGUCCAGAAUACUGGAAAAGCAAACCAUGCCAACCUGUACGGUUGUUAACUACCACUGUGUCCAGUGGUGCUCACUCUCAGCUGGCAAAGGCAAAGUCUGAGGGGGAAUGGAGACUCCGCCAAAGACACGUAGACUUUUGUGUGGGGAUCAGCAGAGGGAACGGCAAAUACAUACACAAGAGAAAAGCUUAAGCAGCAUCAGCUUCCAGUGUCAGGACAGAAAUAAAGAUUUUGAAUGCUGUUUUUAAUUCUGCCUUAAAAAAAAAAAAACU